rnacentral:rRNA from 1 species
GUCCACGCCCUAAACGAUGUCAAUUAGCUGUUGGGCAACUUGAUUGCUUAGUAGCGUAGCUAACGCGUGAAAUUGACCGCCUGGGGAGUACGGUCGCAAGAUUAAAACUCAAAGGAAUUGACGGGGACCCGCACAAGCGGUGGAUGAUGUGGAUUAAUUCGAUGCAACGCGAAGAACCUUACCUGGUCUUGACAUGUACGGAAUCUUUCAGAGACGGAAGAGUGCCUUCGGGAACCGUAACACAGGUGCUGCAUGGCUGUCGUCAGCUCGUGUCGUGAGAUGUUGGGUUAAGUCCCGCAACGAGCGCAACCCUUGUCAUUAGUUGCCAUCAUUAAGUUGGGCACUCUAAUGAGACUGCCGGUGACAAACCGGAGGAAGGUGGG